rnacentral:rRNA from 1 species
AAAAGAACUCUGAAGAGAGGGUGCAAAAGCGCGUGAAACCGCCAAGGGGUAAACUGGCUGAGCCGAGCGACGUGUCCCGCCGGGGCGGCUGGCCGUCCGACGUCGACGAGGAGCUCCCGGCAACGGGUAGGCUUUUUUUCGGAGGCGCCGGGCGCGUGUCCUCCCCCGGCGGGUCUCCGCCGUCACCGGCACCGGACUGUCUCGUCCGCGCGUCUUCCCGGGGUCGUCGGCUUCGGGGGUGUGGGCGCGAGUAGGCACGAGAGCAGUCGCGGGUGUCGUGGCCGACCGCGGGCUAAGGCGGCUUUCCGUCCCGUUUCUUUCUUCGCCUCUCGGGGCGGGGGAAGGCGGCGGGGAGCUCCGGCCCGUCGAAAGGUGUACGGCGUUUUUUCCGGUUGUCUGCCCGACCCGUCUUGAAACACGGACCAAGGAGUCCGACGCCUGUGCGAGCCGCAGGGUUUCCACUAAACCCCACGGCGAAGUGAAAGCGAGAGGUCCCCGUGGCCGAGGGCGAGAUCUCCGCUGCCGGCCCUCGCGGUCGGUACGGAGCGCACCGCCGGCCCGACAGCCGCCGCGUCGACGGCCCUGUCGGAGCAUGAGUGCAGGCGUCGGGACCCGAUAGAUGGUGAUCUACGCCUGAGCAGAGCGAAGCCGGGGGAAACUCUGGUGGAGGCUCGAAGCGACUCUGACGUGCAAAUCGACCGCCCGACUUGGGCGUAGGGGCGAAAGACCAAUCGAACCAUCUAGUAGCUGGUUCCCUCCGAAGUUUCCCUCAGGAUAGCCGGCGCCGACGUAACGAUUUUCACUCGGUAAAGCGAAUGGUUGGAGGCAUCGGGGGCGAAACGCCCUCGUCCUACUCUCAAACUUUCAACGGGUGAGGCUCCAGACCCGCCUCGUACGGGGACUGGCCUCGAAUCACGGGUGCCGAGUGGGCCAUUUUUGGUAAGCAGAACUGGCGCUGCGGGAUGAACCGAACGCCCGGUUGUGGUGCCCAACGCAGGACGCUCACGGGAAAGCUAAAAGGUGUGGGUCGGUACUGACAGCAGGGCGGUGGCCACGGAAGUCGGAAUCCGC